rnacentral:misc_RNA from 1 species
GGGCCUAGAGACCAGCAACCUUAAUUUGCUAGUAACAAUUUUAUUCAAUUAUACAAAUAUAUGCACCUCCCAUCAACAUUAUCUAUGCAAAACAUUAAAAUAUGGAGAAUUCCCCUUAGGCAGCUACAAGUGACGUGAUUGACGAGAAGAUUUUCCAAUGUUUAAUAAAACAGCAAAGAAAAUUCUGUGAUGACUGCUGAAGACGACGACCAGAAAACAAUGAUAUCUCAACAAUGAGGUUUAACUGCUAAGCUAAUUUACAAAAAUCGAAUAAAAAAAGCCAUAAUUAUUUAACUCUCUUUUUCUUCUUCUUCUUCUUUUACAAUUGCUGAGAGAGAAAAAUUGCCGACUACACCAUUCUUCUCCCUUUGCCUUUGAGUAGAUGAUUUUGAUCCAAAGAGUGAGAAAACAUUGUUUAAAGAUGAAGAUAGCCUAUUUGAAUAGUAGAACACAAUCCAUGGCUCGAAGGAUAGACAAUAACUCACCAAAUUUUAUAUGCCGGAUACUUGGAAACAUGAAAAUAAGUUCCGUCAAUAGAAGACAACCUCAGCAUUGUUGCUACUGCAUUUUGUCAUGAGCUUCUUGCGUUUGGCCAUCUGGGUAAGCUUCUAUGGAGAUUGAAAUAUAGAGAACCUUAAAGGUUGACCUUUCUCUAAAGCCAUAAAUAUACAACCAGCAAGAAACCAAGUGCACAGAAGGGUGGAUAUAGAAGAAACAGACAUUGAUGGAAUAGAAACGUAACCAAAAAAAAAAAAUUCAAAUUAUUUAUCUAAGGAAAAAAAUUUGAGAAUAUAAAAAUGGAGAAAGAUUCAGUAAGAAAUGUAGUAAGAAAGGAGCAGAAGGUUGAUAAUGGAGUAGCCACUGAAGAUAUUGUAAAUAAUUCAAUUGUAAAAGAUA